rnacentral:rRNA from 1 species
CCUACGGGAGGCUGCAGUGAGGAAUAUUGGUCAAUGGCCGGAAGGCUGAACCAGCCAUGCCGCGUGAAGGGCAGGGGCCUAUGGGCGUUAAACUUCUUUUGUGCGGGAGCAAGAAUGGGCACGUGUGGCCAGACGAGAGUACCGUACGAAUAAGCAGCGGCGAACUCCGUGCCAGCAGCCGCGGUAAGACGGGGAUGCAAGCGUUUUCCGGAUUUAUUGGGUGGAACGGGUGCGUAUGCUGUGAGGUAAGUCAGCGGUGAAAGGCCCCCGCUCAACGGGGUGAAGUGCCAUUGAUACUGCCUUGCUGGACUGCGGAUGCCGUGGGAGGCAUGUGUGUUGUAGCGG